rnacentral:rRNA from 1 species
AUGGCUCAGGAUGAACGCUAGCGACAGGCUUAACACAUGCAAGUCGAGGGGCAUCACGGGAGUAGCAAUACAACUGGUGGCGACCGGCGCACGGGUGAGUAACGCGUAUGCAACCUACCUAUCAGAGGGGAAUAACCCGGCGAAAGUCGGACUAAUACCGCAUAAAACAGGGGCACCGCAUGGUGAUAUCUGUUAAAGAAAUUCGCUGAUAGAUGGGCAUGCGUUCCAUUAGGUAGUUGGUGAGGUAACGGCUCACCAAGCCGACGAUGGAUAGGGGAACUGAGAGGUUGGUCCCCCACACUGGUACUGAGACACGGACCAGACUCCUACGGGAGGCAGCAGUGAGGAAUAUUGGUCAAUGGGCGGGAGCCUGAACCAGCCAAGUCCGCGUGAAGGAAGAAGGAUCUAUGGUUCGUAAACUUCUUUUGCAGGGGAAUAAAGUGCAGGACGUGUCCUGUUUUGUAUGUACCCUGAGAAUAAGGAUCGGCUAACUCCGUGCCAGCCGCCGC